CUGUCUUGAGUGAUUAAAAGAUAGAACAGUCUAGUCAAGUGCCAUGUCUCUUAUUCUUGAUCAGCUAUAGCUCCGGAGUUUUUGCAAAUUUUGAAAUAAAACUCAAAGAUUCCUUGUAUGACUCACUCAGAUCUCUCUUUUGUGGUAUUUUUGGAUCCUUACCAAGGCAGUGAUGGUAUAUGCCUUCUCUUAAAAUAUGUGGUAUUUGUGAUAUGAAGCAUAUUGCCUUCUCUCUCACCCUACUCUAAUAAGGCUUUAAUAUCUGGAGCUCAUAGGUGGGAGAUAAAGUAUACAUACUUACAACACAUUUAUUGUAUAGUCAAACCAUGGAUCCAAAGAAACAAAUCAAUAAGCCAAAUCAAGAUGUGCAUGUGUGGCGAAUGAAUGGUGUAUGGUGAUAAUGGUGAUAACAAUGGUGAAAGUCUAAUUCUACAUUUGCUCUUUUGAGGAGAUACAUACCUUCCUUGCUUUUUGAAACUUUGUGAGGAGAAUGAGAUGCUCUUCUUUUUCUUUUCUCUCAGGUGGGUAUCUUGUACCCCUAAUUCUACUGUCGGACACUUGUCCAUUUUUACCUCUCGUCUCACUUUUUCUUUUCUUUCGAGGUUUCGGGCACUUGCCCCUUUUUAUUUCCUCGUAUACUUUUUUCUCUCUUCUUCUUUUUUUAGAGCACUCAUCUCUUGACAUAAUAUAGCAAGUGGUAGUAACAAGAUAACUUGAGCAUUUAUUUUACAGGGGAAAACAGAAAUGUUUUUGGCUAUUCUCUCCCGGAUUAGGAGUAGAAUAUUUUUGGGCGGUUCUGGAGAUGGAAAUGAGUGGAUAUAUGUGUAUGGUACUUCCGAAGUAGAAGCAGCAUAUGUGAGUGAACGUGCAAGUGAAUCUUGAUUUAACCACAUGACAAGCUCCUAAGGGUCUACACAGCUUGACCACACUCAAUGCUCAUAAGCACUAAAAUUAAAUGUGUGGCUCAAAGUCUAGCAAGCAUGUAUGUAUGGUUGUGGUAGGAUUUUUAACUCUCAUCAUACAGGAACACAUCAUACAAUAUUUUAA
rnacentral:lncRNA from 1 species